rnacentral:rRNA from 1 species
UACAGAGGUCUCAAGCGUUGUUCGGAUUCAUUGGGCGUAAAGGGUGCGUAGGCGGCGCGGUAAGUCGGGUGUGAAAUCUCGGAGCUUAACUCCGAGACUGCAUUCGAUACUGCCGUGCUCGAGGACUGGAGAGGAGACUGGAAUUUACGGUGUAGCGGUGAAAUGCGUAGAUAUCGUAAGGAAGACCAGUGGCGAAGGCGGGUCUCUGGACAGUUCCUGACGCUGAGGCACGAAGGUCAGGGGAGCAAACGGG